rnacentral:lncRNA from 1 species
AUGGCUUCCCCUGCAGCCCAUGAAGUCGGGGAGCUAAGACCAUCCCUGGGGCUCCAGGAAAUGACCUGUUCUCUCCAAGUUCACUGGGGUUUUCCUGCUCAGUUAGUAAAACUCCCUUUUCAUUUGCUGCCACCUCCGGUUCUGCCCUGGAUUUCAAAGGACACCUCACCAAACGGCCUGGCUGGCAUGAGGUUGGAUGCCUGCUCCUGCUGGGGGCGGGGUGGCGGCAACAGGAGGAGCGGCUCUUGUCUGGUGAGUCUCACGGUCGCCCAGAGAACGCAGGCGUCUCAGGGACAAGCUGCAGACGUGGACUCUCCUGACACCUGGCGGCCACUCGUUGUCUCCAGGGCGCCUCAGUUCUCUCCUGUCUCAGGGGCACAGAUGGGGGCCGCAGAGGAGGCUCACUUGAGACAGAUGGACGGGAGAAAAACAACAGGAGCUUCUAAGGCGUGCACGGCGCAUCUACAGGAGACCUCAGUGGCACGGCACCGGGGUGCUGGGCACGACAGCUUCCACAGCGUCCCAGCAGAAGAACAAGGGGCUGGGAGAGAAAGGACACGACAGAGGCCUGGGACUCGAGCCCCCUGA